AUACACAUCUCCGAGCCGGCGAGACGCUACGCAAUCGCGUAAGCGGCGGACGGGUGAGUAAUGUCUGGGAAACUGCCUGAUGGAGGGGGAUAACUACUGGAAACGGUAGCUAAUACCGCAUACCAUCAGAUGUGCCCAGAUGGGAUUAGCUAGUAGGUGUGGUAAUGGCUCAACUAGGCGACGAUCCCUAGCUGGUCUGAGAGGAUGACCCGACAAGAGGGAAAUGAGAAACGGUCAAGACUACUAAGGGAGGGAGCAGUGGGGAAGAUUGAACAAGGGGCGCAAGCCUGAUGAAGCCAUGCCGGGGGUGUGAAUAAGGCAUUCGGGGUGUAAAGCACUUUCAGCGGGGAGGCGUUACCCGCAGAAGAAGCACCGGCUAACGCCGUGCCAGAAGCCGCGGUAAUAC
rnacentral:rRNA from 1 species